rnacentral:rRNA from 1 species
CCUACGGGAGGCAGCAGUGGGGAAUAUUGCACAAUGGGCGCAAGCCUGAUGCAGCCAUGCCGCGUGUGUGAAGAAGGCCUUCGGGUUGUAAAGCACUUUCAGCGGGGAGGAAGGCGGUGAGGUUAAUAACCUCAUCGAUUGACGUUACCCGCAGAAGAAGCACCGGCUACUCCGUGCCAGCAGCCGCGGUAAUACGGAGGGUGCAAGCGUUAAUCGGAAUUACUGGGCGUAAAGCGCACGCAGGCGGUCUGUCAAGUCGGAUGUGGAAUCCCCGGGCUCAACCUGGGAACUGCAUUCGAAACUGGCAGGCUAGAGUCUUGUAGAGGGGGGUAGAAUUCCAGGUGUAGCGGUGAAAUGCGUAGAGAUCUGGAGGAAGACCGGUGGCGAAGGCGGCCCCCUGGACAAAGACUGACGCUCAGGUGCGAAAGCGUGGGGAGCAAACAGGAUUAGAUACCCCAGUAGUC